rnacentral:rRNA from 1 species
AUUGAACGCUGGCGGCAGGCCUAACACAUGCAAGUCGAGCGGCAGCGGGAAAGUAGCUUGCUACUUUUGCCGGCGAGCGGCGGACGGGUGAGUAAUGCCUGGGAAAUUGCCCAGUCGAGGGGGAUAACAGUUGGAAACGACUGCUAAUACCGCAUACGCCCUACGGGGGAAAGCAGGGGACCUUCGGGCCUUGCGCGAUUGGAUAUGCCCAGGUGGGAUUAGCUAGUUGGUGAGGUAAUGGCUCACCAAGGCGACGAUCCCUAGCUGGUCUGAGAGGAUGAUCAGCCACACUGGAACUGAGACACGGUCCAGACUCCUACGGGAGGCAGCAGUGGGGAAUAUUGCACAAUGGGGGAAACCCUGAUGCAGCCAUGCCGCGUGUGUGAAGAAGGCCUUCGGGUUGUAAAGCACUUUCAGCGAGGAGGAAAGGUCAGUAGCUAAUACCUGCUGGCUGUGACGUUACUCGCAGAAGAAGCACCGGCUAACUCCGUGCCAGCAGCCGCAGUAACAC